CGUGUCCGGGGUCGUCACUGAGGGCUGGGUGAAGGCAGAGCUCGCCAUCAGCACAUUCUGGCCACAUUUCUAUCAGGUGAUAUUUGAAUCCGUCUCUUUGAAGGGUCAUCCUGGCUACAUCGCUGUGGACGAGGUCCGGGUCCUCGCUCAUCCGUGCAGAAAAGCACCUCAUUUUCUGCGGCUCCAAAAUGUUGAGGUUAACGUGGGGCAGAAUGCCACAUUUCAGUGCAUUGCCGGUGGGAAGUGGUCUCAGCAUGACAAACUUU